rnacentral:lncRNA from 1 species
CUGCUCUAUUUCCUGCUGUCUGGGGGCUACCAAGGCUUGGUAAGUGACUUUUAUUUCUGACCCUUUUUUCCCCUCCAGAAGCCUCUAAGGGGAGGGAGGGGGCACUUUUUUCCUGUUCGUAACUCGAGGGAAGUGCGUAUGUCGAGUCCUUAUUUCCCCUAUAGGGGGGGUUCGUAAGUUGAAUUGUUCACAAGUAGGGUCGUUCGUAAGUCGAGACCCCACUGUAUUCGCCUGCAACCCAGACGGCCGGGUUUCCUGCCUGGCUGGGCUUUUUUCUAGCCUUGGCCAAGGACCUUCCCAGCCUUUGCUUGCCCAGGUGUCAGCCCCGCCACCUGCCCGCCACCCGCCUCCGUCUCCCCUACCUGUCCCCCUGCAUUUCCGCCUUCUUUGCUGUCUUUCUUUCUUCUCCCUCCCUUCUCUUGGCCUCACCCUCUUCCUCCCCAGUUCUAAGCAAAGCAUCUUUGCCCUGAGCCUGCAGGAGGAAGCCAGCCAAGAAGGCCGACGAGGAAGUGAAGGAUUAAAAGGACCAGCAUUUAUAUUCUCUAUUGAAAAGGACAUUGAGGAUAUUGGUAUAUCCUCUAUCCUGCAUCCUGAGAUCUGAGGUAGAAUGGGCAUUACACGUUGGACCCAUGGAGAGCAAUUCAGGGAGAUGAUGGCGCUUCAGGUCUGAACCAGGGGCCGAGGGAAGAGCCAAGCCUGGAGCCCAUACAAGCUCAGCAUCAGCUUCCCUCAGGCCCUGUGAUCAUCCUCCUAAUUCAGAGGCAAAACAGAUGCUAUCCUGGUGCCUAUCUCACUGCAAGGACCACCUCGGUGUGCGUCUCUUCCACGAGAGAGUCUCCACAGUUGACCGUCAGGCUGGGCGUUUUCAGGAAGAGGGUGGCCUCCAGGCCAGCCCUCGGCUUCUCCUUCAGGUGUGGGGGGUUCAUGGGAAUUGUGUCCCUCCCAUCACUCCUCUCUUCUCUUCUCUCCCCCUUUUCCAGGCAUCUGUGUCCAGUUCCGGAUCUCUGGGAAGACGGGUGGUUGCGAGGAGAAGUUCUUAAGGGAUGUCUCAGAGCUCCUGUCCUUGCAAAGAGUCUCUCUGAAGGUGAAGGAGUUUGCAGAGACCUCGAAGGACCCCCUUCUGCUCUUCUGCCCCAUAGCUUCCCGCAUGCGCAACGACAUCGAACACGCCCUCGAGGGACUCGGUGACAAGCAGAAGGUCCUCCUGGUGGUGAUGCACUAUGUUCGAAAGGAGAACCCAGAAUCCUCUGUGAACGCUAAGCAGCCGGUGACCCCUCCUGCCGUGGUGCUGACCGUGCACACCCGCUUCACCCUUAAUGAUGGCUUCUACCCUUGCCGGAUGAACAAGGCGGCCGUGGCUGACGUGGCAGCUGCCCUCAAGGCCCUGGCCGAAGAUCAAUGAGGGGAGACGCGGCUGCUCCCAGUCUCCUUCUUGUGGGAAGUCGUGUUGUGGGAAAGACUCAGGCCUUAGGCCGUUCAGACCUGGAUGGGGAUUGCUGCAGUGCAUGCUGGGGAUGUCCAGAGUUAGCACAUUGUGGGAUGUAGGGAGGGGGCUUCCCAUGGGGGCUUGCAUGAGGGGUGGGAUUGACACACCUCCCAGAAGCAGCGCCAUGCCUUCAGCUGACGAGGAUGUUCGUAGUGCAUUCUCAAAGGCUUUCAUGGCCGGGAUCUGAUGGUUGUUGUGGGGUUUUUGGGCUGUUUUGCCGUGUUCUGAAUGGUAUUCUUCCUAACGUUUUGCCAGUCCCUGUGGCCAUGGGCAUCUUCAGAGGACAGGAGUCAGAACUCUGUCUGUGCUCUGGUGCCUUUUGUUUGGAUAGUUGAGUAUUUAGAGCUGUGGGAUCAGCUUUUGUCCUUUUCAGGAGAUUGGGUGAUUAUGGUGAUCAGUGUGUUUUUUGUUGUGGGUGUAUCACGUGUGAUGGGAGGGGGCAGAGUUUGAAAGGGGGUGUCUUCUAAUUCUGUUCUUUACAGAUGCAGUGCUUCAAAACAUAAUAGAUGGCGGGGAGGAUUCAGAGUCAUACGCAAUGGAAGGGACAGGACAGCCAAUGAUUACAUGCACCUGAAUGUUCAACAUUGUGUCAUUUGUGGAAAAGGUGAAAUAAAGCAGGAGUGAGUUGAGGAGUGGAGAAGCUU